UGUACCCAUUGCUUAAAGUUUUGUUUACGGAAAAGUAAUCUAGACUUUGAUGCCUGUACUCAUACUUGUGAACCAGAGCACACCCACCUUUGGUCGGUCCAGUACGACUUCUACCAUGGUGGUUUUGAAGCCAGAAUUCAUUGUGCCAUCGAUUUCUUCUCAUACACUUUUCAAACCCUGGGUUUAUUCACGCCAUUACAGCUCCGAUUAACCUUCACUGUUCCGAUCAUCGUCUCCAACUAAUGGAUGCAUCUGCAUCUGCAACAUCUUCAUCAAACUCGCGUAGAUACCCUCUUUGUUACUUCUGUUGCAAUUGUAUCAAACGGUGUUUCCGUUGUUUGUGCUCUUACGCUUAGGGUUAAAGAUAAUAUUUUAUGAUGAUGAACUUAGAUAUUGUUUUUAAUUUAUGAACCAUUAAAGGAAGAACCAGGGGUUAUCUUGAUCCAUAUGAAAAUGUGAUUUGUACCGAAUGUGUACACACCAGGUUUUGUUUUCUUUAGCCAAUCUGAUUUGAAAACUUUGGAGCUAUGAUGCGUAAGCUAAGAUGAAAGGCUAUGAUGGUUGCUUGAGCCUCUGUAGUUAGCACAGAAACUCUGUAUAUGAGGUGCUUGAUGGAAUGCUUUAAAGUUGUGUUGAUUGUUGUAUUUUGAGGGUAAAUCGAAGAUCCAGGUAGCAUCUUGGCGGGGCAAGCUCCAAAUGGCAUAGUUUUCACUAUGCAACUAUGUAUUUGCAGCCAUGUUGUUACCAGGGUCUUAUAUGUGUUCAUCCCUCGAUUACAUAUCUGAGCCUUUUAAGGUUGUUUUGAUAAACAAAGGGUUGUGUUUUAGGUAUGUAUUUUAACAUUAUCAAUUAACAACAUUGGACUGCAUUAGUGGUUGUACCCACUUCAUAAAAUUUUGUAUAUGGAAAGUCAUGGCUAGGUUUUAACACGUGUCCCUUGGGCAUGUGAAACAGAGCAUAUGUUUUCUUCCACCCUUUUUACUUAACCGUCGGUUUGGGUUUUUACAGUUGCUUCUUUUUAGCCGACAAUUUUAGACUUUAUGAUUUGUUUUAGAGUUGUGAUGAUCAUUGUACUUUUAGGGUACAUCGAGCAUCCGAGUAGCAUGUUGGCGAGGCAACAUCCAGAUGGCAUAGUGCUCACUUUGCAACUGUGUGUUUGUAGCUAUGGCGUAACCCAUUCUUAUAUGCGUUCAUCCCUCGAAUACAUAUUUGAGCUUUCAAAGUUUCAACGCACAAACACAUUCACAUCUUAGUAACCUUUUUUUGGCAGUGGGUAUGUGAUAUCAGUAUUGUAUCUACUUCUGGGCUAUGAUGAUGUGUUUUUGUUUGAAGAAACUAAGAUUUUAGUGUUUAUUGGCGUGGCAUAUGAGGUCUUUAACCUCUUAGUGUGCAGCCAACACGUGUAAUUUCUGUUUCUUCAACAUGUCUAAGCCUGUAUAACUAUACUAUUGCUGGUGUGCAACGUGUGAAGGAACACUUGACUCUUUAAUUGAAGAGAGCUUAUGUUCUUCUGGUAAUGAUGGUGUUGAGUGGUAAUGGACUAAGCAAGGCGUCAGAGAGGGUUUUCGGUCGAGUUGAACUUCCGGCGACCUAACCUAGGGUUCCGACAAAGUUCCGAUGAACCUCCACCAACCAGCGAACCUCCAUUUCUUAGCGAACGGAAUGCAUCUGUAUAGUCAUAUCUUAUAUUUUUUCUCGCUUUGCCUCAUUAAGCUAAGCUUCUUCAAGUUCCGUUUUGUAUUUCUCAGUUUCAUUUUUAAUUUCAAUGAUGUUAUUGGUGAGUUUGUGCCCAAUUUUGAAUAUGGGUUUAUUGCCUAUUAUAAUCUAGAUUACUAUCAUGAUGGAUUCAAUGUAAGCAUGCAACUAUCUUAUGUUCUUUACAUUACGAUGAAUCAAGUAACAAGCUUUGAAUUUA